rnacentral:tRNA from 1 species
GAAUAGCUCAGUUGGUAGAGUCGCGGUCUCCAAAACCGUUGGUCGUGGGUUCGAGUCCUACUUCG